rnacentral:rRNA from 1 species
AUUGAACGCUGGCGGCAGGCCUAACACAUGCAAGUCGAGCGGAUGAAGGGAGCUUGCUCCUGGAUUCAGCGGCGGACGGGUGAGUAAUGCCUAGGAAUCUGCCUGGUAGUGGGUGAUAACGUCCGGAAACGGGCGCUAAUACCGCAUACGUCCUGAGGGAGAAAGUGGGGGAUCUUCGGACCUUACGCUAUCAGAUGAGCCUAGGUCGGUUUAGCUAGUUGGUGGGGUAAAGGCCUACCAAGUCGACGAUCCGUAACUGGUCUGAGAGGAUGAUCAGUCACACUGGAACUGAGACACGGUCCAGACUCCUACGGGAGGCCGCAGUGGGGAAUAUUGGACAAUGGGCGAAAGCCUGAUCCAGCCAUGCCGCGUGUGUGAAGAAGGUCUUCGGAUUGUAAAGCACUUUAAGUUGGGGGGAAGGGCAGUAAGUUAAUACCUUGCUGUUUUGACGUUACCAACAGAAUAAGCACCGGCUAACUUCGUG